rnacentral:rRNA from 1 species
UACGUAGGGGGCAAGCGUUGUCCGGAAUCAUUGGGCGUAAAGAGCGUGUAGGCGGUCCGGUCAGUCGGUUGUGAAAGUCAAGGGCUCAACCCUUGAAUGCCGGCCGAUACUGCCGGGCUAGAGUCCGGAAGAGGUGAGUGGAAUUCCUGGUGUAGCGGUGAAAUGCGCAGAUAUCAGGAGGAACACCGAUGGCGAAGGCAGCUCACUGGCCCGGUACUGACGCUGAGGUGCGAAAGCGUGGGGAGCAAACAGG